GGAGAGGUAGCUUGGUGGUAGAGCACUUGCCUAGCAUGCGUGAGGCUCUGGGUUCGAUACCCAGUACUACCC
rnacentral:tRNA from 1 species